rnacentral:tRNA from 1 species
GUGCCCGUAGCUCAGUGGAUAGAGCGUCAGGUUGCGGACCUGAAGGUCGGAGGUUCGAGUCCUCUCGGGCACG